rnacentral:rRNA from 1 species
UACGUGAAACCGUUUAGGGGUAAACCUGAGAAACCCGAAAGGUCGAAGGGAGAAAUUCAUUCGCGUUUCGCAGUCGGCGUGAGGCGAUCGAGUGACGGAACGCGUCUUCGGACGUUUUCUGCACCUUUUGUUUUUCGAUCCGAUAGCGAACGCGUGCACUUUUCUCCUGGUAGGACGUCGCGAUCCGUUGGGUGUCGGUCUACGGCUCACGGUGGAGCCCGGAUGUACGGCUUGCCGUCACGUCCGGACCCGUGUGUCCCGGCUGACUCGCUCGACGGUAUACGAAUGGUUUAAGGCCGCUCUCGCGAGCGUUCGGCUCGU